GGCCAGAUAAGAGAAUAAAAGCAGGCUGCCCGAGCCAGCAUUGACAACUCGCGGGGAUUGUUUUCCACACCGUGGAAGCUUUGUUCUUUUCGUUUUUUGCAAUAAAUCUUGUUGCUGCUCGCUUUUUGGGUCCACAUUGCUUUUAUGAGCUGUACCACUCACCGUGAAGAUCUGCAGCUUCACUUCAGAGCCUAGCGAGACCACAAGCUCACUGAGAGGAACAAACAACUCCAGACGCGCUGUCUUAAGAGCUAUAACACUCACCGCGAAGGUGUGCAGUUUCACUCCUGAGCUAGUGAGACUACGAAGCCACUGGAACGAAGAAACUCCAACCACGUUUGAACAUCAGAAGGGGCAGACUCCAGACGCUUCAUCUUAAGAGCUGUAACACUCACUGUGAAGGUCUGCAGCUUCACUCCUGAGCCAGCGAGACCACGAACCGAUCUGAACAUCAGAAGGGACAGACUCCAGAUGCCCCACCUUAAGAGCUGUAAUACUCACUGCAAGGGUCUGCAGCUUCAUUCUUGAAGUCAGACCAAGAACCCAGCAAUUCCCAACACACAGGGACCAGCUUCUUUCCUAACUCACUUAGGCUCUUCGUGCUGCUCUGGCAACUAACACCCUUGGCUGCAGGGGCUUGGACACUACCCUUAGUCACUGACAAUUGUGUGAAGGCUGCUGUCGUUAACUUCACUUGAUCACCUUAGGCUCCUGUGAAGUGGUGAGCAAUUCAAACAAAUUCCUGUCGUCAAAUCAUGAGUCCACCUGUCCCGAGUUGGAAGUCUGAACUCAUGUUCCUGGAUUCCUCCCAUGCAUCUUGGUGCUGGUGUGGGGCCUGAACUCAGCCAAUCCGCAACACCUCCAGGAGUCUUCCUCUUAGAUGCUGAGGCCACGGAGAAGGAAGCAGCACAAAGAAUGAACCCUGGAGAGGGUGCCAGAGGCAGGCGGGUUCCAGCCAUGUGGCGGCACAGCCUUACUGGGAUAGUCUAGCUGUGUCACUCAGGUACGGUUGCUCUCUGAGAAGCCGCCAAACCCAACCCUUUCACACACACCUAGGAUGAUUUGAAGAGCUACCUAAUAACCUUUCAUAAGGUUCUGAAAGCCAGCCAGAGUGGUUGUGAUCAGUAGUAAUGAAGAGCCUUCUUUCACUGACAUUCCACUUUUUACAGAUGGGGAAGCCAGGCUCCAGCAGUUACAAAACAAGGUCCCAUGACCCCUAGACCCUACUUGCAAAGCUGGGAUUGACGCAAGCUCAUCUAACUCCAAAACCCAAGCUCUUCCCACUGUGACAAGGGAGGGGACAAAUAGGAAAAGGCAGUUUGAGCUUUUCUGGGAAAGGAAAGAAAUGAAUACCUUGGCCUUUGUCCAGAUGUGGCCUGCAGAAUAAAUCCUAUGUGGCAAGGCCGCUUAACCUCUGCCGGGGCUGUGUCAUUACGGUGAUUCUUCACACUAGUUAAAUGCCACGGUGAGGAUGGCACGGGGGAAGAAGAGCUCACGGCAGGCGCCAUCUCCAGAAAGGAUCCACUGCAGGUGGUUGAUAAGAUCAAUCAGAUUCGUGUUUUGCAACUACUUCUUGGCAAGACGUACGGGACUGACCGCAGUUGACACAUGCCAAUAGGGGGAGAAAUCUGAAGACGUGUUUCUGUGCAGUGGUGGCACCCAGGGGCUCUGGCCAGAGGAGGUCACAGGAAGAUGCCUAGCGGCCCGUGGAGCGACCUGCCCCGCAUUGUCACUUGACCGCUGGUGUGCGAAGGGGAUAACACUGUGUUCAAUGUGUUUGUAACCUUGCAUGAAAAAAUUGAAGAAAUGUCACUUUCUUCUCACCCUCUCCCAGGCCAAUCAUCUGUCAUGAAUUCAAUAUGAGGCAAACGUCUGGUGAUCACAGGGACAAACUAGGGAUAGGCCUUUGGGAGAGGAAUCUACUCAGUUUGUGUUCAACCGGACUAUCCAGGUAGGGGAGCUGGCUGGAGAGGGAGCCAGCAUUUGUUGACUGUAAUCUCUGAGCUAGGGUCGCAAUUACAUCUUCUGCAUCUUUGUGUGCAUAGUACCAAGCACAGAAUUAUCCAGAGUAGACACUCAAUAAUUGUUUGUUGGAAGAGUCAUUGUUGCUUUUGCUUCCAAGCCCCUCACAAAUUUCCACACAGUGCAGUUGAGCUCGCACAGUCAAUGAACAGUUUAUAUCUGAUUAAUAGGGGCUGAUAGUCUGAGGUGGCCUGCCUUCUUGCAGAGAAAGUUUGGGGUGGGUUACUGAGACAGGCUGGAUUCAUGGGGUGAGUUGGCUCAUGACCCAACAUAGCCAGGAAGCAAAGCGGAUAUUCCUCUGAAUUUUGCAGGCCAGGUGUGGCAUGUGUCUGAAAUUUCAGCUGCUUUAUCUUUAUACCCAUCAUUUUGGUAAGACUAUGUGUCCAAUCUGAAAUUCACCAACAGGACAGGGCCAGCUGCCAGAACUGAAGUCCCAAGAAGAAAACCAAGCAAAGCUGAGACACAAACCUGAACUUUUGAACUUGUCAAUCUACUGAGUCAACUAACUCUGGGACUCCCAUGUCUGGACUUCUUCAUGUGUGUUAACCUAUCUUCCUUGUUGCUUUUGCCACAAGGUGUUCUGGUUCUUGUAACCAAACGCAUCCCAUCUGACUCACUGGGCACCUGACUCCAGUUGUGUAAAACAGGCCCAGAUAGCUUGCCUUUGCCUCCGUUGGCGUGUGGUGGACAAUUGUAAAUUUCCUUGUAAGGUAUAUUAGUCCGUUCUCACGCUGUUAUAAAGAACUGCUCAAGACUGGGUCAUUUAUAAAGGAAAGAGGUUUAAUUGACUCACAGUUCUGCACGGCUGGGGAGGCCUCAGGAAACUUACAAACAUGGCAGAAGGGAAAGGAGAAGCAGGCGCCUUCUUCAUAGGGUGGCAGGACAGAGUGAGAGCAAGCAGGGGAAAAUGCCAGAUGCUUAUAAAACCAUCAGAUCUCAUGAGAACUCACUAUCAUGAGGACAGCAUGGUGGUAAUCACUCCCAUGAUUCAAUUACCUCCCACAGGGUCCCUCCAACGACAUGUCGGGAUUAUGAGAACUACAAUUCAAGAUGAGAUUUGGGUGGGGACACAACCAAACGAUAUCAUAAGAAUCCUGAUUUUGUUUGGAAGGACAGCGUGCCUGGUUCCAGAUGGAGAAAUUGCACUGCAGAGAAAUCUUUAAAAGCAAUUACCUAAUACUGCAGAUUGCUGAACUGUACCCACACCCAAGACUGAGCAUUGGAUCAAUCCAGAAUAUACAUCAGGUGUUCUGCAAUGUCUGCCUAAAACCAUGACUCUGCCUCCUCCAGCUGUUGCUACAUCUCACUAUGGGUUUCCUGUGACAUUUUGAGCAAGUAUGCCUCUGUGACUGGGGUUCUUACACUCCAGAAUGGAUGAGAAGCACCGUAAGUGGCUUUUAAAAUGAAUAUUCCCUGGCCCUUCAGUCGCUCUAUAGGUCAAGAAUCUGAAUUCUCAACCUGUCUAGAAGGUUCUGGUUUUAAUGGUCUGUGGGCUGCACAUUGAGAAACCUGUUCAGCGAGUGCAACAAAGGUUCCACAUGUGAGAAAGGAAGCAUCAGGUCUCUUGAGCCUGUUCUUUAAUCUGUAGGCUGCACCUUCUCUUUAAAUUCUGCUAAUAACACCAUGCGAGAAAACACCCGAGCUUGAAAAGCCCAUGUUCCAACAUAACUGUCCUUCACCACUCUGGAAAAUUAAUGGUUUGUUUCGAUUAUCCCUUUGUUAAACUCCAAAGUCAAAGAGCUCUGAAAGGCAUACGGUUAUUUUAAGUUUCAGGUGAUUUCUGUUGCCAAAUAUUUUAAAAAUUUAAAAUUGCUACGUGACCUCUUAGUAGUACUAUUAGAUUUCCUGACAAUAAAAAUAAGUCUUUUGGUUUCACCAUUUAUAGUUAGUACAGCUAAUAUUAAGUAUAAUUUUAAAAGCCUUUUAUUUUCUCAGAAAGAAAAAAUAAUCAAAAUCUGCUCAGUGUGGUAUUGAAUAAUUAAAAACAAAAGAACAGUAUCUUCACAUUAGUGUUUAAUAUUAAUUGCUUUUUUACCCUUGACACUGGUGCUAAUUAAAUUUUCAUUUUAUUUUCCAUGACUUGUUUAAACAGUUUUUGCAAAUUAUUGCUAAUCAGCCUAAUAAAACUGAAUCACCUAUUAAACAAUUUUGUUUUGAAUUAAAUGGCAUUAAAAUAAUUCUGGCUGCCUUGUGUUAUAAUGUGUUACAAGAAUACCAACCGCUACAGGUAAUAUGCCUUAGCUUUUACACAUGCUUUAAAUAAAUCUACGGAUGUAUUUACCUACAUGCACAAACAUGCAAAGAGGCAGUGUUGGUUAGUUGAAUGGGUUUCCGGCUGGAUUUAUUUCCCGUCUACUGUCUUCUCAAGAGGAAAUCUAAGGCAAAUCUCUUCAACAACCUGAAACUUGGUUUUCAUCAUCAGCAAAAUAAGG
rnacentral:lncRNA from 10 species